AUUUAGAGGGACUCUCUAACCUGAGUACACAUUUGAAACAUCUGAGGGCUUUGAAACAUACCUGCUCCUGGACCACCUGCUGAACCAAUUAAAUCAGAAUUUCUGUUGUGAAGAUCUCCACGUGAGUUUAAGCUUUCCUGCUCAACUGUUAGUUCCAUGAAGGCAACAGCCAUGCCUGCUUCGUUCACUGAAAUAUCUUCGUUUCCUAACACACAGAAAGUCAUCAUUUUUUGACGGAUGAAAGAAUGGAUGAAUGCCUAGUCUUGGAGACAUCUACUUGCAAUAAAGGUGAAGAAACAGAGGCAAAGGGAGCAUAAGCAAUUUUCCAAAGGCCAUACAACAUGUAAGUGGCUGAGCCAAGACUGAAAUCACCAGGUUCUUAACCACUAGGCCAUAUUGCAUUGGAGUGUUGCCUCCUGGAGUAAGACUAGGCUAAAAGCUUCAUAGAAACCUAAAGGAGUUAGAGAAGGAAGAUCUCUCAAUGGAAAUGCUAAGAAGAGACACAAGGAAAGACACAUCACUAAGGAGAGACCCAAGGAAAAUGGCUCUAUGACUACAGUCCAUUUAAAGAAUGAGGGCGUUCCUUCUACCAAGUUACAGGUGGAGAUGUGUUUACCUGCUGGAUACCAAUGCUUCUAGCAUCAGGGAGAAGUUGAGCCCUGGAGGAAACAUUGCCUCUAAGUUUGUGUUCUGAUGGAGAUGAUGACUACUUCACAGGCACUUUGCAAGGUCUGAUGACAUUGACAAUACAUUGGACAAAGAGCAAAGGAAGAGGAGUCUGCAAAACAACAACAACAACAACAGAAAAAAACAAAAUAAAACAAAGGGUCAUCGGAAGAGUAACAGGAGAAAGAAGAGUUAAUGUGUGGUGGAAUCCUUGGGAAAGCAUGAGUCAAGAAGUAUAGUAUACACAAUUCAGAUAACCAAGGGGUUACUUCCAAAAGGAUGAAUGUAUUUGUAGGCAAGGCGCAUGGAAAUAAGGUAUAGCUUGCAUAAAAAUCCAGAGUUUUGGUAAUAAAAUCUUUCUGCUGAGUUUUAA
rnacentral:lncRNA from 1 species